AUUGAACGCUGGCGGCAUGCUUUACACAUGCAAGUCGAACGGUAACAGGGAGCUUGCUCCGCUGACGAGUGGCGAACGGGUGAGUAAUGCGUCGGAACGUGCCGAGUAGUGGGGGAUAACGCAGCGAAAGUUGUGCUAAUACCGCAUACGUACUGAGGUAGAAAGUGGGGGACCUUCGGGCCUCACGCUAUUCGAGCGGCCGACGUCUGAUUAGCUAGUAGGUGAGGUAAAGGCUCACCUAGGCGACGAUCAGUAGCGGGUCUGAGAGGAUGCUCCGCCAGACUGGGAAUGAGACACGGCGCAGACUCCUACGGGAGGCAGCAGUGGGGAAUUUUGGACAAUGGGCGAAAGCCUGAUCCAGCCAUGCCGCGUGUCUGAAGAAGGCCUUCGGGUUGUAAAGGACUUUUGUCGGGGAGGAAAUCCCCAGCGCUAAUACCGCUGGGGGAUGACAGUACCUGAAGAAUAAGCACCGGCUAACUACGUGCCAGCAGCCGCAGUAAUAC
rnacentral:rRNA from 1 species